rnacentral:rRNA from 1 species
AGUGAACGCUGGCGGUAGGCCUAACACAUGCAAGUCGAACGGCAGCACAGUAAGAGCUUGCUCUUACGGGUGGCGAGUGGCGGACGGGUGAGGAAUACAUCGGAAUCUACUUUUUCGUGGGGGAUAACGUAGGGAAACUUACGCUAAUACCGCAUACGACCUACGGGUGAAAGCAGGGGAUCUUCGGACCUUGCGCGAUUGAAUGGGCCGAUGUCGGAUUAGCUAGUUGGCGGGGUAAAGGCCCACCAAGGCGACGAUCCGUAGCUGGUCUGAGAGGAUGAUCAGCCACACUGGAACUGAGACACGGUCCAGACUCCUACGGGGGGCAGCAGUGGGGAAUAUUGGACAAUGGGCGCAAGCCUGAUCCAGCCAUACCGCGUGGGUGAAGAAGGCCUUCGGGUUGUAAAGCCCUUUUGUUGGGAAAGAAAAGCAGCAGGUUAAUACCCCGCUGUUCUGACGGUACCCAAAGAAUAAGCACCGGCUAACUUCGUG